rnacentral:rRNA from 1 species
UCUGGUUGAUCCUGCCAGAGGUUACUGCUAUCGGUGUUCGCCUAAGCCAUGCGAGUCAUAAUGUUCUUCGUGAACAUGGCGUACUGCUCAGUAACACGUGGAUAACCUGCCCUUGGGUCCGGCAUAACCCCGGGAAACUGGGGAUAAUCCCGGAUAACGCAUAUAUGCUGGAAUGCUUUAUGCGUAAAAUGGAUUCGUCUGCCCAAGGAUGGGUCUGCGGCCUAUCAGGUAGUAGUGGGUGUAAUGUACCUACUAGCCGACGACGGGUACGGGUUGUGAGAGCAAGAGCCCGGAGAUGGAUUCUGAGACAUGAAUCCAGGCCCUACGGGGCGCAGCAGGCGCGAAAACUUUACAAUGCGGGAAACCGUGAUAAGGGGACACCGAGUGCCAGCAUCAUAUGCUGGCUGUCCGGGUGUUUAAACUACACCUGUUAGCAAGGGCCGGGCAAGACCGGUGCCAGCCGCCGCGGUAACACCGGCGGCUCGAGUGGUAACCGUUAUUAUUGGGUCUAAAAGGUCUGUAGCCGGCCGGAUAAGUCUCUUGGGAAAUCUGGCAGCUUAACUGUCAGGCUUUCAGGAGAUACUGUCUGGCUCGAGGCCGGGAGAGGUAAGAGGUACUACAGGGGGUAGGAGUGAAAUCUUGUAAUCCCUGUGGGACCACCUGUGGCGAAGGCGCCUUUACCAGAACGGGUUCGACGGUGAGGGACGAAAGCUGGGGGCACGAACCGGAUUAGAUACCCGGGUAGUCCCAGCCGUAAACGAUGCUCGCUAGGUGUCAGGCGUGGCGCGACCGUGUCUGGUGCCGCAGGGAAGCCGUGAAGCGAGCCACCUGGGAAGUACGGCCGCAAGGCUGAAACUUAAAGGAAUUGGCGGG